rnacentral:rRNA from 1 species
GAUGAACGCUGGCGGCGUGCUUAACACAUGCAAGUCGAACGGUGAAGGCGGAGCUUGCUCUGCUGGAUCAUUGGCGAACGGGUGAGUAACACGUGAGCAAUCUGCCCCUGACUCUGGGAUAAGCGCUGGAAACGGCGUCUAAUACUGGAUACGAGCUGCGAAGGCAUCUUCAGCAGCUGGAAAGAAUUUCGGUCAGGGAUGAUCUCGCGGCCUAUCAGCUUGUUGGUGAGGUAAUGGCUCACCAAGGCGUCGGCGGGUAGCCGACCUGAGAAGGUGACCAGCCACACUAGGACUGAGAGACGGCGCAGUCUCCAACGGGAGGCAACAGUGGGGAAUAUUGCACAAUGGGCGAAAGCCUGAUGCAGCAGCGCCGCGUGAGGGACGACGGCCUUCGGGUUAUAAACCUCUUUUAGCAGGGAAGAAGCGAAAGUGACGGUACCUGCAGAAAAAGCGCCGGCUAACUACGUG